rnacentral:rRNA from 1 species
GAUGAACGCUAGCGGCAGGCUUAAUACAUGCAAGUCGAGGGACAGCACAGGUAGCAAUACUGGGUGGUAACCGGCAAACGGGCGCGGAACACGUACACAACCUUCCUUUAAGUGGGGGAUAGCCCAGAGAAAUUUGGAUUAAUACCCCGUAAUAUAGUUGAAUGGCAUCAUUUGAUUAUUAUAGCUACGGCGCUUAAUGAUGGGUGUGCGGCUGAUUAGAUAGUUGGCGGGGUAACGGCCCACCAAGUCUACGAUCAGUAGCUGAUGUGAGAGCAUGAUCAGCCACACGGGCACUGAGACACGGGCCCGACCCCUACGGGAGGCAGCAGUAAGGAAUAUUGGUCAAUGGACGCAAGUCUGAACCAGCCAUGCCGCGUGAAGGAUUAAGGUCCUCUGGAUUGUAAACUUCUUUUAUUUGGGACGAAAAAGGGCCUUUCUAGGUCAACUGACGGUACCAGAUGAAUAAGCACCGGCUAACUCCGUGCCAGCCGCCGCAGUAAUAC